UGGCUCCAUCUUUACUCUCCAUGUCCUUCAUUUAAAACCAGGUAGCUAUGGCCCCAUCUUUAUUCUCCAUGUCUUCAUUUAAAACCAGGUAGUUAUGGCUCCAUAAUACUCUCCAUGUCCUUCAUUUAAAACCAGGUAGCUAUGGCUCCAUAAUACUCUCCAUGUCCUUCAUUUAAAACCAGGUAGUUAUGGCUCCAUAAUACUCUCCAUGUCCUUCAUUUAAAACCAGGUAGUUAUGGCUCCAUAAUACUCUCCAUGUCCUUCAUUUAAAACCAGGUAGCUAUGGCUCCAUAAUACUCUCCAUGUCCUUCAUUUAAAACCAGGUAGCUAUGGCUCCAUAAUACUCUCCAUGUCCUUCAUUUAAAACCAGGUAGCUAUGGCUCCAUAAUACACUCCGUGUCCUUCAUUUAAAACCAGGUAGCUAUGGCUCCAUAAUACUCUCCAUGUCCUUCAUUUAAAACCAGGUAGUUAUGGCUCCAUAAUACUCUCCAUGUCCUUCAUUUAAAACCAGGUAGCUAUGGCUCCAUAAUACACUCCAUGUCCUUCAUUUAAAACCAGGUAGCUAUGGCUCCAUAAUACUCUCCAUGUCCUUCAUUUAAAACCAGGUAGUUAUGGCUCCAUAAUACUCUCCAUGUCCUUAAUUUAAAACCAGGUAGCUAUGGCUCCAUAAUACACUCCAUGUCCUUCAUUUAAAACCAGGUAGCUAUGGCUCCAUAAUACUCUCCAUGUCCUUCAUUUAAAACCAGGUAGUUAUGGCUCCAUAAUACUCUCCAUGUCCUUCAUUUAAAACCAGGUAGUUAUGGCUCCAUAAUACUCUCCAUGUCCUUCAUUUAAAACCAGGUAGCUAUGGCUCCAUAAUACUCUCCAUGUCCUUCAUUUAAAACCAGGUAGCUAUGGCUCCAUAAUACUCUCCAUGUCCUUCAUUUAAAACCAGGUAGCUAUGGCUCCAUAAUACUCUCCAUGUCCUUCAUUUAAAACCAGGUAGCUAUGGCUCCAUCUUUACUCUCCAUGUCCUUCAUUUAAAACCAGGUAGCUAUGGCUCCAUAAUACUCUCCAUGUCCUUCAUUUAAAACCAGGUAGCUAUGGCUCCAUAAUACUCUCCAUGUCCUUCAUUUAAAACCAGGUAGCUAUGGCUCCAUAAUACUCUCCAUGUCCUUCAUUUAAAACCAGGUAGCUAUGGCUCCAUAAUACUCUCCAUGUCCUUCAUUUAAAACCAGGUAGCUAUGGCUCCAUCUUUACUCUCCAUGCCCUUCAUUUAAAACCAGGUAGCUAUGGCUCCAUAAUACUCUCCAUGUCCUUCAUUUAAAACCAGGUAGAUAUGGCUCCAUAAUACUCUCCAUGUCCUUCAUUUAAAACCAGGUAGUUAUGGCUCCAUAAUACUCUCCAUGUCCUUCAUUUAAAACCAGGUAGCUAUGGCUCCAUCUUUACUCUCCAUGUCCUUCAUUUAAAACCAGGUAGCUAUGGCUCCAUAAUACUCUCCAUGUCCUUCAUUUAAAACCAGGUAGAUAUGGCUCCAUAAUACUCUCCAUGUCCUUCAUUUAAAACCAGGUAGCUAUGGCUCCAUCUUUACUCUCCAUGUCCUUCAUUUAGUAGUGUUUCAGUCAGUCAGUUAAGAACAAAUUACGCCUCAGCUGUCAUGGUGGAUCUUUGUAGAAUUGAACCUUGAUUUAUACAAAGUCGGGUGUUCUCUACUCUGACCAUUAGUCCACAGAUAAAGGAGAAACCAAGUUAGUUUUCUUUGAUUUAAUCUCUCCUCGUUCAUCUUUUAAUCACCCACGUGGGUUAGUAUGCUCGUGAAAACCAAUGAGUAAAUGGGAGAGGCGAAACUUGAAUAUAAUGGUCAUUUGAUGUUUAACUGGGCCUGGCAGACAGCAUGUGGUAAUGGAAAUGGUAUUUGACUCAGGGCUUCAUAUUAUAAUUACAAAAAGUACAAAAUGAUUUAUGUGUAUUUGGACCAAAAUGAUAGUGAAGAAAACAGGUACCAUUGUGUGUGAGGUUAGCUGUAUGGAACACAACAAAAACUCCAUGAACCACGCAUACACUCUUCGUCUCUCCUG